rnacentral:rRNA from 1 species
GAUGAACGCUAGCGGCAGGCUUAAUACAUGCAAGUCGUGGGGCAGCGCAGUGUAGCAAUACAUGGGCGGCGACCGGCAAACGGGUGCGGAACACGUACGCAACCUUCCUUUAAGUGGGGGAUAGCCCAGGGAAACUUGGAUUAAUACCCCGUAAUACUAUGAAGUGGCAUCACUUUAUAAUUAUAGCUCCGGCGCUUAAAGAUGGGCGUGCGCCUGAUUAGGUAGUUGGCGGGGUAACGGCCACCAAGCCUUCGAUCAGUAACUGGUGUGAGAGCACGACCAGUCACACGGGCACUGAGACACGGGCCCGACUCCUACGGGAGGCAGCAGUGGGGAAUCUUGCGCAAUGCGCGAAAGCGUGACGCAGCAACACCGCGUGAGGGAAGACGGCCUUAGGGUUGUAAACCUCUUUCAGAUGGGACGAAGGUGAUGCGGUGAAUAGCCGAUGUCAUUGACGGUACCGUCAGAAGAAGCUCCGGCUAACUACGUGCCAGC